AACCAACUUGUGGUGUCAAGUGCAUGUCGGAGGAAGAAGCUAUUAGGGUCGGAGGUACAAAUCAUAGCCACGCCACCAAGGAUCUCUACGAUUCGAUUGCUGCUGGAAACUAUCCCGAGUGGAAACUUUUUAUCCAAAUUAUGGACACUGAGGAUGUAGACAAAUUCGACUUUGAUCCUCUUGAUGUAACCAAGACCUGGCCUGAGGAUAUCUUGCCAUUGAUGCCAGUUGGACGAUUGGUACUUAACAGGAAUAUCGAUAACUUCUUUGCUGAGAACGAGCAGCUCGCGUUUAACCCUGGCCAUAUUGUCCCUGGUCUUUACUAUUCGGAGGACAAGCUUCUCCAGACUAGGAUAUUCGCGUAUGCUGAUACUCAGAGACACCGUAUUGGACCAAACUAUAUGCAGCUUCCUGUUAAUGCUCCCAAGUGUGCUCAUCACAAUAAUCACCGCGAUGGUGCCAUGAACUUCAUGCAUCGCGAUGAAGAGG
rnacentral:lncRNA from 1 species